GUCGUCCAGCGCGGAGCCAGAGCGACGUCACGCGGUGGGGAGAGGGCGUCAUUGCGCCUUCACGAGCUUCACACACUCACACACACACACACACACACACACACACACACACACACACACACAUACACACCCUGUGGCAUGUUUACCGAGUGGAGAGUUUGCUCCGACUUGCAGAGAGCGCAUGUGGACUGUGAUGCUGUCCGGGACCGAGCAGACAAUGAAGAGGAGCGACAGAGCUGGUCUCCGUUUCUUUCUCUGAUAAGUAAGAUGAGAGCCUUUGUGUUGAACCUGAUGAGUUCAGGAGGAUUUCUGAAGGGAACAUUAACAGUUUACACAGAAGAGAUGUCCACAACUGCAAGUCCAACCAUCCCCUCCUCACAGCUGACAUCGGAUCAACUCACAGUGGUCGCUGCAUCCUUUUCUUCUCUGGUGUUGUUUGUGGUUAUUGUGGUGCUGUUGUCCAUUAUUUACCGCAAGGAUCUUCAGUGCUGCAAACUCCGCUCCUAUCAGGGGCCACAUGGAGAUAUGGACGCUCCUCCUCAGUACUACAGCAGCAGACAAACACUGGUGGGAUCUCCUUGUCAAGAGCAGACUCAGAGCAUGGAUGACACUCAGGCAUACGAGAAGUUUUCUCCUAGAAUUCAAGGUAACAGGGGGAGGCAGGUCAGCUGUUCUACGUCGGCUUGCCCUCGAGCUACAGCCUGCCAACUCUGGAGGCCCCCCUGCCGAGGCUCCCCUCCUACGAAAGCGUCCGAAAGAAGGACCGCCAGAGGCAGAUCCACAUGAUGAUCGCAGACCGCUUCGGCCUCAAUGGACCCAUUGUGACAGAGCCUCCUCCAACAUAUGAAGAGAGUACCCGGCAGUCUGUGGAGCUGCCGUACAACAUCCUCUCAUCCAGUCUAGACGUCUCCUUUCCUCAGAGUAUCUUCACCAACACAGACACACCUCAUCCACUCAACUCUGAUAGCAGCGCUGUUCUACCUGUGUGAUUACUGCUUCUCAAGCUGCCUCAUGAAUGUGAAAGGACGUUUGAUUUAUAUACAGAUGAAGUUACCAAAAGAAGAAGAAGUUUGGAUCACAACCGGAUCCUUCACACGAUCGGAUUCAGAUACUUCAAGACUGAGUUUAUGUUGAGAGACAGCUGAUGAAAGAGCAACUAAAGAGGAGCUUCGGGGAAAGGACGUUUGAAUGUUCAAAACACAUUACUGAGGUGGCUGGUACACCUUGAAGAAGAAAGUUGUGGACUACAACAAACCAAAAAAAGGAACCACUAUUUACUUUGUUGAUUAUACUGUUAGUGAACACAUGUUUACUCUUUCAUUGUGCUGUUCCUGAGCCAGAGACCUCCUUUGGUUUGUAAGGGUAUCAGAAACCUGUUUGUUUCUGCACCCAGCUGAGGCCGUAUCAUACUGCCAUACACAAUGUGAUUCUGCAUGUGAGAGGGAGAAUUAAAAAAAAGAAAAGGUGCUAAUGAGAGUGCCUUCCAUGCAGUUAUAAUAAGACAUAUAUCACAACAAAUGUUGUUGUUUUUUUCACCAUGCGGUAAGGCAGAUGGGGCUCUUGAUUUGUCACUUCCAGAAACAUGGAUUCAUUGGUUUUAAUCUCCAAACGGCUUCAACGAGCAGAGUGAAGCGGAGUGAAUGUGAAAACAAACAUACUUGUCCAGACCUGUUUUGUUUUUCUUUAUCACACAAAGUUAUUCUCUGCAACCUCAACCUGCCAUGUACAUGUGCCAAAUGUUUGUCCCGCAUAUUGUCAUGUACUGUAUUUAUUGAAGAAAAAAGAAUGACUUCUCAUUAUUUCUGAAAACAAAUGUAAUAAAUACUUUUAUUUUUUUGUUGAUGGACUAUUCUAAUUAUACAGCAGUAGCACAUUACGAAUAUUUAAAUAUAUAA
ensembl:lncRNA uncharacterized LOC115012558